GUUGCCGUGGCCUAGUGGUUAAGGCGACGGACUCCAAAUCUUUUGGGAUCUUCCCGCGCAGGUUCGAAUCCUGCCGACAUCG
rnacentral:tRNA from 1 species